UAUAUGAUAUGAUAUUAGAUAAUAAUACAUAAAAUCUUUUUGUCAUCUUUUACAUUUAAAUUUUUCUGCGAAAUAGUGGAGUGGACGAGUUGAGUAUGGAUAUUAGAUUGUGUUAAUUUCGUGACUUCCAGUCUUGGUACCCAUGUUAAUUAAUAAUUGUGUACAUAAUCGUGCUUCCGAAUUUUAUUGUUACAUUUUCAUUUAAGUCAUAUGUGAUAAUUAUUGACUUAUGUCGCUAUUAUAAGUUCUGUUUUCAAACAUUUGUAAAUAUCUUACUUACGUUGUCACAAAAACCAAUUCCGUCGAUCAAUAAAAGUAAUAUAACAUCAACAUUAACCUCGGUUAUUACAAUAUAGAGCGUCAAAAAUUAGCUUUUAUGUAAACGAAGAAUCGGUAGUCCGUUUAAAAUUGGAUACAGAACGCGAUUUUGGAGACAUGUCUGUCAAGUAUGUGUUAGUGUCUGACGAAGAAUAUGGUGAAGCAGUUGAACUUCCACUUGAGGACAAUGGUACAUUAUUGUUAUCCACGUUAACAGCCCAGUUUCCGGGGGCUAGUGGGCUAAAAUUUCGCACUGAGAACAACGUUGUCAGAGGUGUUCGUUUAGCUGAUGGUCGAUUCCAUGUGCCUGAUAAUGAAUGGGGAAAGACACCUUACUACUGUGUUUUCCCUAAAGUGGAGAAUAAGAGAAAGAUUGAUGAUAGUGUAGAAAAUCCAACAGCUAAAACCAAGAAAUUAGAAACAAAAUUAAAAUGUUCAGAUUUAGUUGUUUUAAAUAUACCAUACACUUAUGAUGAACAAAAAUUGAAAGAAUACUUUGGUCAAUUUGGAGAACUACUUAUGUUACAGAUAAAGAGAGACAAAAAUGGACAAUCUCGAGGAUAUGGAUUUUUAAGGUAUACAAACUUAGAAUCACAAGUUAGAGUUCUUUCUCAGCGUCACAAGAUUGAUGGUCGUAAUUGUGAAGUUAAGGUUCCAAAAUCUAAGGAAGGUAAUGGUUCAGAGCUUUCUGGAAAAGUUUUUGUGGGUCGUGUGACAGAAGAUUUAACAGCUGAUGAUAUUCGUGAGUAUUUCAGCAAGUUUGGAGAAGUCAUCAAUGUUUUUGUACCCAAAAAUCCAUUCCGUGGAUUUGCAUUUGUGACUUUCCUUGAUCCUGAAGUAGCUGCUAGUUUAUGUGGUGAAGAUCAUAUUGUUAAAGACGUUUCAGUCCGUGUAUCUGAAGCUGCCCCAAAACCGCAAGUUCCCAAAAAUCGUCAUCAAACUCCCCCACCUAGUGAACCCUGGGAGCGUUCUAAUAAUCGCCAUAAUGACAGUUAUCGAAAUUGGUAUCACUCACAACAUGAUAAUCGGGGGAGUGUAGACAUGCCUAAUCUACAGUCAUUGGGGAUUAACGGUCAAGACAGCUAUAACCCAAUGUUGCCUUUAAGCCCGGCUAUUGUUGCUGCUGCAUUAACACAAGCUGCUGGAUGGAGUCUGGCUAAUGGUCGUAUGAUGCCACCACCACCACCUCCUAGUGGAAACAAUCAAUGGUCUCAACAUGGUCUCAACUCUCAACGAAAUAACUAUAAUAACAGGAAACGUUCUAAUAAUGAUUACAAUUCAUCAGGCAAUCGCUAAAAAGAGAUAAUGUAUCGCUUGAAAAAUUUGCAAAAUUUAUCUGACAGCCCAGUCUUAUCGAACAAAUGCAAGUUCAAUCAGAACUGAAAAAUAUCUUGAAGAAUCCAAGAAGAAAUAUUGAAUUGAAAGAAUGGUUAUUGUUACCAAAAAUCUACGCUAUUAACAUUUUUUAAAAGGAUAUAUUAUUCAUAGAACAAUAAUAAUAAAUUGCUCUAUUGGUGGACAAGUUCAAGGUUCUAGCAAGCUGGUGAACUUAUAUAUUGGGUAUGCACAAGACCGACUCUGAAUGAUUGUAUGAUACAGAAACAGUGCAUAACUUGAAUGAAAAACUAAUUUUUUUUUUAAAAGAAAUUAAACUGUAAAAGUAAUAUUUUUGUUUCAAUACUGUUAGUGACUAAGA